UCUAAACUGAAGAGGAAUAUUAGGUAAAAGGGGCUUUUUUCUCCUAGUGAUCAGAGAAUCUUUUUUUUUUUUUAAUACUCCUACCCAAUGUCUCUGAUUACAUACUUAAAAUCUGAUCAUCAUGCAUGUUCUUGGAGCAAGCAGCCUUUCAGGUCAAGUUAGCAGAAAGCAGCAGGCAUGGUUUUCCUACUGGGAAGACAAUUCAGGUACAGGCUGUGUGAUCCAUAUUGAAGAAGCUGGGGACAGCUUGGCAUGACUUAUACUAGAGACAGUAAUACUUAAUUUGAUUUAAAUUUGCCAGAGUGACAGUUGUAGCAAGUGAUAUGACGGUCCCUUCUGAUGUAAAAUGUAAUGAAAAUUGUAGCAAAUUUUUAAAAUGUCAUUUUGGGAAAGAUGGUGGAGAGAAAAAGAAACAAUGUGAGUAGGUGAAUGUGCCUGGGAAUGGCUUGUAAUUUUUUAAUCUGCUCAGGUGUUUUAGAGCUACCUGUUUGGUACAUUGAAAGGGUAUGCAGUAAGCCACAAGAAGACCAAUAUCAUUAUUUUUGUUUGUAGGAGGAAAAGAUACAGGGCAGAAAAACAAUGUAGCAAUGAGGAAGAAGCAAGUUUGUAAGGCAAGGCAAAGAACAAAAGCCAGAAAAAGCAGAAGGAAUAAAACUAGAAGUUACAUAAUAAAGGCAAAAGGUAUGAGACAGAGCCCACAGCAGUCAGUUGGAGUCUUUCCACUUGGAUCAGGCUUAUUUAAAACAGAAAACAAAAAAUCCUCCCUCUUGGCAAGAAUCACAUUUGCCCCUACUCCAAACUCUCCUAAUUGUCUGCUUGUUGAGACUACAGCUAAACUAAAUUUAAAUUUUACUGUAUAUCAUAAAUUGUUGUACUAGAAGAAUGCAACAUAUUAAUGAGCCCUGCUCAGAAAAUAAAUGCAUAUUUUUACUGUGCAUUUUGUUUCCAUAAAUACCUUUGCGUUACUGCAGUCACAGCUGUUUCCCUGGCCUGAUUCAUGCAGUAGCACAGUGACUCUGCUUUUUGACAGAAAGAAACACAUCCAAGGUGAUGAGCAGAAGUAGCAAUGGAACAAUUACACAGGAAGAGGAUUCAGUCUCUAGUCUCCUAAAUUCUAAAAGAACUUAGGCUGCAAUUUCCCCUUGGAUUAAUGAAGAACAGAAGAAGAGGAUAGAGCAGCAUGACGCUAAUGCAGUGACAGAAAUGCACUGAGGGACGUCAGGAAAAGUGUAGGAUCUUGGUCUCUGUGAAAGCAGAUAAAUACACGUGCCAAGGUGUGUCUGGGAAUGUUUCCCAUCCCACACUAGCAUAUACUGCCAAAGGAGGAGCUUGACUUAAGGCGUUAUUGGGAUAAGAAGAGAGAGAAGGUGGCAGUGUCUGGUGGACCAUGAAAAUUGGAAGGAAAACAUUUAAUGUAAAUGAAGUGACCUUGGAAGGCGCCUGCAUAUUGAAAUAUGUAAAAGGGCUGUUUUCUUUUUCACCAAAGAAGCAUAUAAUCAUAAAAAGAUAAGAGAACAGCAUUUGGUAUACAGAGUCAGUUCUGUUGUGUACUUAAUCUAGAAGCGCUGGCAAACUUCUACUCAAGGAAAAGGUUAAAAAACAAGCAUCAAGAUUUGUGAUACACAGAGCCAGCUGCUCAGGACUGCACAUGUGAAGAACAUUCCUUUCUAAUCUUUGCAGGUGAUCAGGUUGUUCCCUGACAUGGGACCCUGGAAAGCUCGUAUUACCUUAGGCUGGCUCAGCAGUGACUGUUCUUGGGUUGCCAACUGAUCAUCCAGCCCCUAAAAAAAUCUUGCAAUCCUUAUGUGGUAUAUUCAUGUUGUAGGGAAUGUAAUGUUACUAUUAUGAAUCCCUCUUAUGUUAAAUUGGAUGUCCUUUAGUUUGAAAGGUGAUUCAUUACUUCUAAUUCCACAAAACAGAAGUCUGUUUUCAUUAGGAACUUCAUAAUUUUCUGGAAAUAUAGGGGUUUUUUUCCCAGAUGGAGAGAUUGUACUGUUCUUUAUUUUUUGCCCUAGGAAAAUCUUGGGUUUUCACUGGCUUUGUUUUUGGUCUUUGCUCCCGUCGAGCAUCUACUUCUUUUAAACUGAAAUAAUCGAAAGAACUCUAAAUGUUUUCAAUAGGCUUGUAUAUCAAUAUGUUUAAUCCUUCUGGAUAGAAACAUUAGAGCUAGGAGGGAAGAUUAGCUGUUUGGUACCAAAGGCAAAAGGGAACAACCUACUGUGUCUAACAUAAUUUACAUAAAUUAUUGUGUUAUUUAUUCUUGAUUCCACACAGUACUGUUUUGCUGCUUUACAUGUUCUGGCUAGGUUAAUAUUUUGUACCAAUGAGAAGACAAAUACAACUUUUGUGCUUUGUUUCAGGGUUAGAGAGUCAUCCGACUUAACAGGCAGGAAAUUGUGAAUUGAGAAUGGUAUCUAAGUUCGAUGGGAUGACAUCCAGAGUUCCCUUCCAGCCAGAAUUCUACUGUUGUUUUGAGGGAAGGGUAUGGAGUUCUGUCCAAGAAGCCAUGAAAGCCUCUCAGAAUAAACAAGAACAACCCAAUGGCAGCAGUUGAGCGGUCCUAUUGUUCCGAAUCCUUCAUCUGGAGGACAGAAGUUUGUGGUUCAUGGGUCUGGAGGAUCUGAUUUGGUCCAUGGGAUCCUAUAGGCUUGGACUGGCGUGGGGCCAGGCUGAACUAGUGGCAGUUGCUGCAGCACAAAAGGGAGUUCUGUUGUCAAGCUCAAGAAGAUGAGUUGUACUUGCCUGAUGGUAAUACUGAGUUGAUUUGCAGGAAGGGUAGUCUGAGGUGUAGUUGUGCUACAGUGCAAAGAGUUAAUGCUUUCUCUUACCCAAAGAAGCAGUACAAACCUGAACACCACAAACCAGGCAGCAAUGGCAGAGUUCGUGUCACAGAAAUUAAUCAUGUCAGAGCACACUGGAGCAGAACUGUGUGAUAUAUACGUUGCUGGACUGAAACAGAUGUGAAAAAAGAGCCACUGUGAGAUAAUGACUCAGUGGACCCAUGGGUGCAAUUUUUUUGUGCCUAAAUUGUAGCUCAGUAAAACUAGAUAGCAUUAGGAAUGCUGUUAUGACCAUACUUCUGCUACACAGUAGAUUUUGCUCCUUUUAUUGAGUGUAUGGCUCAUAAAUGUGGACAUUUAAUAGAAAUACAGUUGUGUGCCUUCCUUCCUCACUCCUCUUUUCCUUAAGUACUACCAGCUCGCAAUUUUCUGGGGGCUGGAUAAGGCAGAAAUGUGGUAAAUGUGAUUAAUAGACAAGCUAACCUAGUGAACUGUAAUGCAAGAUAUGAUUGGGAAAAGGAGAAAACUUCAUUGGCCAUGGACUACAGAGAUUCUCCAGCUGAGGUAAACUGGUAGGUGUGGAUAGUGAAGGUGUGGCUGUACUGCUUUUAGACCAAAGCUGGCCUGCUUAAGAUACUUCAGAUUAUGCUGCAUCCAACAAUGUGGUUGACCCACAACCUAGAUAAAGUCUCCAGAGACAUUCUGAACAGCUGGCUGCCAAGGAAAUGAGUGAGUCCAUGCUCCCAAUGAUUCUCAGGAUUUGUGAGUAAAGAGAAGGUGAACAGGGAGAUGGUUUAGCUUUUCAAAUCCAGAAGCACAAUUCUGAGUUGGGGACUCCAGCCUUUUUCUUUUAGAAGAGUACCUCUAGUAGAUUGCACCUCAUCUUUAUUGAUCUAACACUUGUAUGGACAAUAUUUAUAUGCUAUAUCUUUUAUUCACCCACUAUAUUGUUUGUGUUUUUAAUUGCUGAAUUGCUGUUGUGUGACUGGGACAGAUGAAGAAAUCACAGCUGUAAUCACAAUUGGCACAGACUUUCACUGAGUUUCUGCUAUAUCUUGUGUUCCUUCCCCUUGAAGGUACAAAGCAGACUGUUGUGUAAGAUGUGACACAGUAGUGUUACAGAGAACAUGCAAUCCCAAUAGGAUUGGGAUAGGAUAGACUUUCUUAAGCGUUGUGUGACCAUAGCACCCAUAUAAACAAUGCGUAGCUCUGGGAAGAGAGUUAUUGCAGCAACAUGGAGAUUUGGGGCUGCUCAGACCUGUGAAAGCAGCCUGUAGGCAAUACUCAGAAGGCUGUCAUAAAUGAGAACAGUUCCUAGCUGACUGUAACUAAGCACCAAAGAGUGAUCUCUGGUUUUGUGCCAAAAUAAAGCAGAUACGGAUUCAGAUCACGCAAGAGAAUGUGAAAAAUCUAUAAAAGACACUCAUCACAGAAGGUCUGUACAGUAAUACCUGCACAUAUCCCUGCACACUCAGCCAGUGUAUUUAAAAUGUCUCAUCUUUUUUGAGAGACUACUUUAGUCUGAUAGUCUUUUUUGAGAGACUAUUUUGAGUACCUAUACUGUCCAAAAAAAGACCCAAAAAGAACUACUGUUGCAGUCACGUGUUUUGUAUUACUAGAAGGGUUUUUAAUGGGGGCUGGUGUAGGCAUAGGGAUAAAAGGUCAGGUUCUUUUCUGCGGUAUAACUGUCUGUAUGAUACUUAGACUGGAGAGUCAUUUUGCGCUUCCUUAGACCUUGGCUGAGAUCAGAGGGGACAUCUGCUUUACUGGGAAGUGGCAUAAAGUGCAGAGAUGUGGCCUGACCUAGGAGGUUCACAAAUACAGUUCAGCAUUUCACAGACUUAGCAGCUCAGUUUUGAAGACAGCGUGUGCAUAAAUGAGCUUAGCACAGUUCAUAAGCUAAUAAACUCUGAGUCUUGCUACCCCACAGUAAGUGGGGCACAGAGCAGCACUAGUGCAGCUUUGUUGCUCUGUGGCCUGGAGCUGGUUCAUCGUUCUUAGAUUUGUAUGCAACGUGCUGGCCCCACACCAUGUUCAGCACAGUCAGAGCCUGUUGAGGUCUGUCUGCACCCAUCAGUGCAGCAUGAUUUGGGAGGUUGUUUUCAGCGUCCUUUGAAUGAGUCACAGAUUUGUCUGGUUAUUCUGCUUUUCAGAGCUCCUCUACUUAGUUUUUGGACUAUAAGUGGGCUGUUCUUCAGGCUUGUGAUUUACCAGCAUUUGGUAAAGAAUAAAAUUGCUUUGUUCUAGAGAAAGUUGAGUUGAAGACACCUUAUUGGAUUCUGAAACAGUGACAAAAGUUGAUUUAAACUAUUGGGGUUAGUUUGGGGGUUGGUUUGGGUUUUGAGUGGGUUUUUUUCCUGGUCUUUCAACUUGAUUAUCAGAUGUGUGAAUGUGCCAUUUUGGCAAGGUGUCAUUUUCCAGUUCAUUGCUUUGGAAUGCCAUGUGAGAAAUGUGCAUUCGCAUUACAAACAGCUUUAAUGGAUAAUUGGAUAAGUGCAAUUUAAUGAGAGAAAUGAAAUUUUUUAAAUCAGUGUUUAUGUAAUUCAUCUGUCAAGAAAUUACCUUUAUGCUAUAACAUAACAUUAAGGGAGACAAAAUAAAAUAAUGAGAUGAAUAAAUUAUCGUGUACCGAACAUUUGUGUUAGGUAUGCUUAUUCUUCUUUCCAGUUGUGGCUGUUAGUAAUGCUUUUGCAAGAAAAGGAAAUCCUGAUGCAGUAAAUGAAUGUCGAAUAGAAACUUCCAUUUUCCUUCAGUCCAGAUUUUGACAAUGGCUUCUUUGCUAGGAGUGGCCAAGUUGUCUCCUGUCUAGGACUCAAAACCCCAAUGCUCAGGUGCCCAAGUCCUGGUGUACACAACUUGAUACACAGUGGAGAGUCCUGAGGACUUCUGUUGUUGCUAAAGAUGUUAUGCUGAUAUAGUCAGAUCUCUACUUAAAAAUAAGCUCUAUGGUUCUCUGAAGCAACAUGGAAAAUAUUCUUGGACUUCCUGGGGUUUAGAAAAAGGAGGAGACCUGUAUUUGUUUUGCCUGACUUUGGUGAUCUGGGCUGCUUACAUUUAAAGAUCGGAAAAAGACUUGUCAGUAGGCAGAAGGUUUUAUCUGAGACAAUGGUUGCGUGGAGCUGCCUGCCUCCAUGGACUGGCAAUGGGGAGGCUCUGGUAGAGGAAGGUAUUUGUCAACCUACAUGGUCACUUUUGGCUCUCAAAGUUAGGGGAUGUCUUACAUUUCUGUUUGAUCCUAAGAACGUUCUGUCACUGCUGUUAAUUAAACAUUAUUAACUCACCUCUUUUCCUAAAGCAAUGCUUCCAGAUUUAUUUCUGUUUUGUAUAAUGGCAGUCCUUUUGGCCAGUGUUUUGGGAUUUGUACUAGGGACUACAAAAUGGAAAAGUGUGAACCAAAAAGCCAGCUUUCAUACCUUAGAGAUAGAGACAGACGUGUAUUUAUUACAGGCUGAGAGCAGAGUGGGUUUUGCAACAGCCUCUCUAGGGCUGUAAUAUAAUAUACUACCCCACUGUAUAUGAGACUGUUGAAAGUGCCCAGAUUGCACCCUAUAACUGUCCUGGAGUGAAACUCUCCUUUAUGCAGUUACUGGUUGCAGUUCCCGACAUGAACAACAUGAGUUAGUUUGAGCUCAGACCUGCCAUAUGUAACUAAGAGCUUUACCAGACUGCAUGUAUUCUUCACAGGGUGGGCCCUGAAAGCCCUAAGUUGUGUUUGCAUUCACAGGUGCACUGUCAUU